CUCUAUUCUCCGGCCUUGGAGCAGCAGCUCGUGAUUUCAGCUCAAGGGCUCUAUGGAAGGGAGCAUUCGUCGAUGCUUUCCUGGCUAGAAUAAAGAAGAACAGAGAAAACAUGAAUCGGAAGAAGAUUUGGUCUCGUAGAUCUUCUAUUUUGCCUGAAUUUGUUGGUUCCACUGUGCUCAUUUACAAUGGGAAAAGUCAUGUCCGGUGCGAGAUCACUGAAGGGAAGGGAAGGUUGGCCAUAAAUUUGGAGAGUUUGCUUUUACACGGAGACGAAGGCCCCAUCGAACAAUAACAGGAAAGGGAAAUCAAGGAAAGGGCAGAAAGUAAAAGUAGAAAUGUGCAUGAAAGGUGAGGUUGUACGUACACCCUGCUCCUCCGUUCCUUGUUCCUACCAAAACCCAAUGACACAUUCUUACUCUUAUGUGUUUUGCGUGCUAAAUCACUUCUACCAUUUUGGCAUUCGUGAUUCGAGCAAGCACCAAAAUCACAACAUUCUUGCACUAUGGUAACUGCAACUUUGGUUAGAAUUUCUGUGGGAGCAAAUUGUUUCGUUAAUGAUAUACAGUUGAAAUUCCUCGGGGUAUCAUGGCAUUAUGUUUGCUGGGUAUCGGUGGUUUUAGUUUUUUAUAUACAUGUAUAUUAGAGUGAUGUAUCAAGCACCUUAUAAAUGAAUUAUGUCUGCACUCGGCCAACUUUUUAUUUUGAUUGAGGUAAAUUCCAUGAAGCAUCUUGGGUCUGCUGCUUGUUCUUUAUAGUUCACACAUUGGAUGGUUCUGGAGCCAUAACAGACGAAAUUCAAUGGAUGGAUUUUUUUGGCUAAAGGUUAUUGCCGUCCUGGGUCCUGACGGUGCUGCUCCUUUUUAUAGUUCAAAUAGAUGUGAAUUUUAAAUGUUCAAUUAUAAUUUCCAAGCAGUGGAGAGGAGGAGCAUCACAGUGCACUUAUCACUCAGCGAGGCAUAGGAACAGUAGUCUGGUGAGUUUACAUUAUGCAUGUGAUUCUUUUUUAUAUUCAGUUAUAACAUCUGAGAAUAUUAUGCAUGUGAUUCUUUUUUCUUGUGAUGAUUGGCAUGAUUGAAAUGUUUUAUUAGUAUGCACAAUUCAAACAAGUUUUGUGUGUUUAUACAAUCACAAUGGACAGUUGAUCAAUUGCUUAUACAAUAAUCAAUUCUUUCGUGGCUUCAUCCACCUCAUCGUUGGUUCUUCGUUGUUUAAUAAUAAGGGUCUGGUUCAUAGAACCAGUCUGUGCUGCACUCUUGGCUCUUGCCUAUACGGGUUGUUUUGUUGUUGGGUUCGUGUAAAUAAAAAAAGAGGAGUGACACAAACGAUUAACUGUUGCCGAAUUUCAACUUGUUUAGUAGUUCCUAAUUUCCUAGCCUCAUGCCUAGCAUUUACGAAAGAUCAUUUGGAAAGAAUCAAUUGAAUUUCUCUAUGGGCCAAGCCUUAUAGAUGCAUUGCAACUGGCAAAAAGUUAGUGGUUUUGAUCUCAUGUAGAAACUCACACGCUAUUUUUGUUUGUGUUGACGCUUUCCUACUGAUUGCAAGGAAAACUAUAACUAAACUUGCAUCUAAAUUUUGGAGUCAGUUAACUAUCAUAGUUUUAGCUACAAAUUUGUAUAACUCAUCAUGAUGUACAAUUUCUGUUGAGAUCAACUCCUCUUCCCGUCGAAGGGAAAUAUAAUAAAAAAUAUGUUGGCAUAACAACUGCCUAUAGUGAUUAAUUUGUAAGAAAUGGACCAAUCACCAUUUCUGAUUUCUCCUAUCACAAAGCUCCCCUUCUUUGACACGUUUGCGACCAUUCAUAUUUUCCAUCGGCACAACCUAAAAGAGAAAGCCACAUGUGAAAAAUAUUACAACUAACACCAAGAUGCAAUUAUGUACUGAUUCAGAACAAUAAUAAAAAAUAGUGGGAGGAGAAACAUACAGGACACGAGCAAAGGUGGCAAUAAUAAGCAUGUCAUUGUGAUGUAAAGGUAAUUGUCUACUUUCAAGGCCAGAUCAAUACUAUGUAAACUAGAACAACAUAAUUAUCAUCCUAAUACUCAAUCCAACACAGCCACCAUACUAAUUAUCAGGCCUUCUGUUCUCACUAAAACUUGGAUUGAGUAAUAGCAAUUAAUCGUGGUGCACUCUAAUUUUAACAACGCGAGCAUGCCAGCAUGAAGCUCAUGAUCACAGUACUGACACAAGGGCAGCACCCUGAAUUUAAAUACCUGACACAUAUGCACCUAGGAUCCUUUCGAAAAAGAAGAUCAUGCCCAAUGCUCGAGGGCGCCACUGAAGACAUGGACCUCAUGGGCCGGCUCCUCGAUGAGCUCGACCUGCUGCAGCGCCACUCCCCGGAUGUGGACCUUGACAUGGUGGACAUGGACCUUCUUAAACAUAUUGUAGUUCACAAGUAAGGUGUAUUGAUACUAACCUUUUUAAAAUCAUUCCAUGCUGCAUUUUUGUCUUUCAAACAUUCAUUACCUGCCCGCCAGCCAGUUUGAACCAGUCAGGUAACAACAUUUGAAAUGAUGUACUAAUAAAUUUGGCAUUGGUUACAGGAACCGGUGAUGAUCUUCCAGCAUCAUGUGAGAACAGAGAGGCAUGAAAUGCAGCCGACGCAUCACUGGUAAUGGAAGAGAUACCAUUGGGCUUCCUUCUAAUGAAUGAGAAAAUUCAUCAGCAUUACUAAAUAUCACUGCAAGCUUGGUCUUACUGGUAUGUUCCCAUCAUAUAAUCAUGCAUGAUCUCAUUAUUUGCCUUGGUGUAUUAUAAAUUAACCAUGCUAAUAUUAUGGCAUCUACCCUUGUGAGAAAGGACGAACAUAUUACUAACCUGAAUUUUCUAAUUGGACCAAAAUUGUAUGAAGUGAAUUGGUUGGAUUUAGUCAAAGGUGGAUUGAACUGUGGGGUUUUAGUAGGGAGUUUGAAGUCCUAAUUGGUGCCAAGCUCCUAAACUGAGAAAGCAUAACAGGCACACAAGUAACUGUUGUUUCUGUGCUCCAAACAUAGAUGUUCUAAGCUCUCCAUGGUUAGGAUAAACCAAGAUGUAAGCUCAUAACAUGUGUUUGGGUUGGGACAGGAAUAGGAUCACUUCCUAAAUUUGAACGCCUAGAUGCAUCCCCUUGUAGUUAUUUGAACGUGGACAGUGGUAGUAUAGUGUACAGAAAAGAGAGCUCAAGCAGGGAACUCUUAUUUUGUAGUGAAAUCUCUUAAAGAGAACAAAAAGGUAAUUAAGUGAUCGUAGAGGGUUGGAAGCCAUGUGCACAACUUUUCUUACAACUGAAGUAUGAAGCUUAAUGGCUGUAAGAAUAUUGGACUAGCAUAUCCUUCACUCUUAGUGGAUGUAAGUCAAUUGCUGCUUGAGUAUUUAGUAUAAAUUUUAGUUCUGGUAAGCCUGCUUAUGACUAUAAUCACUUGCAAGACUCAAUCACUAACAAUAAUGUGACUGGCUUGCUGCAGGUUGGUGCUCUUUUUGUAUAAUCUAUUGUGUACAAUAUUGUUCGUGUCGUAUCAAAUGUUGAUGAGGGACACAACAACGUUCAAACAAAUUAAACCAAAGUGUUAGGGUUAGGAGGUGCUACAGGAACUGUUGGAGAAGAGAACUGCUCCACCUCAAAUGAUUGCGCCCAUGAAUGUGCACUCCCUUUUCUAUUGAAGAGAAUACUUGCAGCUAAAAAUAAGUUUUGUUAGUGCUGAAAAAUCUUUCACCCAUAAUUUACCCUGCUCUAUAUGUUUGUUCUAUAGUUUUGCUUGCUUGUGUCACUAUGAAAUUUAAAAUUCUAGAGGAACCGAAGCUGGGGAGAGCAUGGAAGUUUUUAUCAUCAAUGUCUGAAAUAGUCGACUUGAAGAAGCUCUUUGCUCCAUCAACCAUUGCAGUGUAUAUGGGCUCAUCGUGACACAAUACGGAGACCUGGAAGACCCCACCAGUCUCUGGUGAAAGCAAGCAGACGAUUAGCUACUCAAAGCGCCUAUACCAAUUAACCACUUCAGACCAAAUACUUUAGUGGAGGGAUGCCACCCAUAUGCAGAGGAUCUGUGGAAAUAAGUAAAGAUAAACAAGUUAACAUUUCAAGGUGUGAAGUUAUGUGGACGUUGCAAGGUGUACUUUGGGCAAAUGUAGUCUGCAAGCAAUCUCUGACAGUAAAUGGCGAAGAAAGUGUCAAGGUCAAACAUCCAAUUUAUGUGACAGUCGAUCCCUUCAUCUGUUGAAAUGUCAGCCUGGGUGACUGAAUCAAGACCUCGACUACGUAACAACCACUUGUUCCAUGUUGAGCGUGUAAAAGACCACAAAUUGGUUGGGACAUUGUUGGAAUCAACAUCUAUUGUCGUUUGGGUGCUUCAGUUAUUGAUGUGAAUUCAAUAAUAAACAAUUGUAAGAUCCAGAAUCUUGUUUUAAUCAUUUUAUGUCACAACAUAGGUUGGGUUUGAGAUGAUUGAUGCUAUUGUGGAAGCUAAGGCCAUAUCUGUUAGCAGUAAGUAAUUUAAGGCGAUUGUCAGAAAAAAUAAAUAAUUUUAUUGAUACAAGGGUGUAUCAUUGAGUUAUAAACUUCUACCUAGCUAAGCAUUUUAUGUUCCUCUCAUGGCGCCGUGGCCAAGGAGGCAGUUCUUGUUAAUGAGAUACCACAUGUCGGGGUUGUUGUGGCGCCGUGACCGCUUCCUGAACCUCCAUCCUAGGAGUAGACAUGUCUCUAGCAGUGUCGUCCGUUAGUUACAUCUAUAUUUUCUUGGUAUUAUUUCCAGUAGCUUAGUCUAUUUAGAUGAAAUGUGACAGCUGAAAACUUUUUUGUGGUUGAAACGAGCAUUGAACUUGCAUCUUUUGGAGGAAAAGGAAAUCCAAGCUGAUUGAUUUGUUGAUAUCCUCAUUGAUGUAACAUUUUUUGUCCUUAGCUUUAACAAAUCGUUGUCAUUUGAGCAAUACGACCAUAUUACAAAUAUUGACAGUCUGACAAUAAGAUCGACUUUUGAUAAUCUGGAACCAAGCUUUUGUUAGUAGGAAAUUGGAAGGCUCAUAUCUUCCUAUACUAAAUGAAUUUUAUUAUUUUUGUGGUACCACUACUAUUUCGAUCAUAUAGGUUCCACAUAGGUUAGGCUCAACCAAAAGUACUAUGAUUUUGGUUUACCUUUUGUCUAUAUUUGUUAAUCCUUUUUGGUGGAGACAUGUUUCCAUGUCGUGCAGCAGGCUAGACCAAGGGCGAGCUACUGCAGUGUGUCUCCCGCUGGACAAUGCAUGAUUAAAAUCAUUUAUAGAAGUUUACAUGAUACUGAUGGUUUCAAUAUAGUGAUGAAAUAUCUAAAUUAAAUUAACAAAAAAUAUUUUGGCUAUGAUCACAAAUACAUUACGAAACAUUUUCUUAUAACAGUAUAACGCACAUUUGUACAUAAGUUAUCAUAGUAUUAUAUAUUUCCGUUGCAACGCACGGGCACUUACCUAGUAUAUAUAUUAAGGCUACAAGGGUAGCCUGUCUCCCUUGUGUUCUGCCUUCCCAGAAUCUCAACCGUCUGUUCUCUCCCGUCUUCGUUUUGGUCGUCCGUCGGAUGCUGCCCACACCCGCGUGUGCGUCUCCCUGGUCCCUGCUCGUCGCCCACCACUCUCCCGUCCACGCGAGCAACCCCGCAACUGCCGCCGUUGUGCCUCCCAUCAACCCUCCACGCGAGCUGUCGCCUGCCCCUCAUCGCUCGCCCCCCUCCAACACGCGAGGAACCCCUACCGUCGCUGACCCCUCAUCUGCUUGCUCGGGGGCCAGGCGUCUAGUCCGGGGAUGUCGGCGGCGGCGGUUCACGGCUCCGUGUAGUGGCUGUUGCAGACCACGACGGCAUCAAACACCUCCUCCUCCUCCUACUCCUGCUCGGACUCGUCUCCGGCUGCGUUCCGGCGCCACCUCACCAUCCAGCCGCCACUGCUCCCCUCGUCGUUGUCCUUGCUGACGGCGAGCACCUCCGUGCGGAGGCGGAUGAUGCCGUCAAGGUGGAAUCAGCGCGCAAAGGCCUGGAUGGAGCGCAACACCUCCUGGUGACGAGGAAACCUGCGCGCGUCAGCGGAGUUCGAGACAGCGGCGAAGGGGAAACUCCCAUGCAUGGAAGAGGAAGAGUAGGAUUGACUAAAAGUGCCAAAAGGGACUGAGAACUGCUCCUCAUCAGUUGCAUGAUGGGUACCCAUCAGGUAGAAAUGAAUUUGUUAGGCAAAAUAAAUUUUCAAAGUCGUCAAAAGAUGAACUUAAUGGUUCUGAAGUGAAGCAUGAAGAUGCUCCAGAGUACGAGGAUGUUCCUCUGCAGAAAGAUCCACCAGAAGGUUCAGAAGAGUUCAGUAAACAGGUUGAUGAAGCCUUUCUUAAGUACACGCGAGAUAGGAUCGAUUACUUGAUGUUGUAAUCACAUCGGACAUAUGAGAUAAACAACUAAUUUGUCUCAUUUGAUGAGCUCUGAUUUUUUGUAGUUAUGAGGUGGCCAAGAAGAGGAUGUAUGCUUUUAGUACGACAACUUAUAUUGGUUUUCAGGCUGUAAUGACCGAGGAAAUGUCAGAAAAAUUUCGUGGUUUGCCUGGAGUAGUUUUCAUUUUGCCUGAUUCAUAUCUAUAUCCAGAAACAAAGGAGUACGGAGCCACAUGGAUGGCCACAAGGACUACAGACGUAGGGGAUCCAACGUUCUUCUUCUCCACUUCCCAGUUCCUACGCACGGACGAUUCUUCUUUCCUCCUUCAACCUUCUUCUGUGGACACACAUUGCAGCAAAGAGAAGGAAGAGAGAGGAGCACAUCCAUGGAAAAAGGAAAGGCUUCGUAGGGGCUUGCUGGCUUAUGGACACACUGGGAGCUGCGACUAGCGGACGACGUCGACAGGGGUGAGAUGGCCAUGGGCGCGAUCACGUGGACUGCCUAGAGGCGGGGCGUCGGCACUGCGGGCGUGCAGGAGGACAGGUGGAGCAGCGGUACUGCUUGAUUAGGGAGCAGGGGCACCGGGGCUAGCAGGGGUUGGGCAUGCUGGGAGCUGCGCGCGCAGGAUCAUGUCAGCUGCGUUGGUCGAGUGCAGCCGCGCCGCGCUGGCCAAGUCCGACCAACAUGCCAAGGCGGAGGCGGCAAGAGUUGGGUAGGGGAGAGGGAACGCCGGUGGGGCAGAGGAAAAAGGACGGAGGGAGAACUCACCUCGGCGAAAACCAACGUGACAAGGGCGAACGCAAGGUGACAGUGGAGUAGAUGAACAGUCGGGGAGCGGGCUUGCCGGAGCAGCGGAUUGGGGACGCGCGGCUCUGCGCUAAAGGGAGGGGCGAGCAGAUUCUUGGGAACCUCCUUGGGAGCAUGGUUGUUGAGAGCGGGGGUUGUUAAGAGCGGCAUAAAUCUCAGAGUCGAGGGUGGCCGAGACGCACGACGAUGGGGGCGGGGGUUG